rnacentral:rRNA from 1 species
ACUCCUACGGGAGGCAGCAGUGGGGAAUAUUGGACAAUGGGGGCAACCCUGAUCCAGCCAUGCCGCGUGUGUGAAGAAGGCCUUCGGGUUGUAAAGCUCUUUUGUCAGGGAAGAAACGGCAUCCUCUAAUACAGGGUGCUAAUGACGGUACCUGAAGAAUAAGCACCGGCUAACUCUGUGCCAGCAGCCGCGGUAAU